GGGGCUUCUUCCCUCACUUGGAAAGAUCCAGCCCCCUCCCCAAGGCACCUACUCUCUGCCUGUCACUGAGCUGAGUGGCUUCCAGUAUGGACUCUGGCUCUGGUUUCCCCUUUUCUAGCUCUCAAGGCAAAGAAGCAUGGAAAGAAGAGCAGGGGCACGAGCUUCAAGAGCUACGAGGUGGCUCAGCUGCGGCUGCUGAAGCUGGUGGAGGACGGGAACCUGAACCACCUCAUCGAGGACUUCCUGGCCAAGGAGGAGAAGAACUUUGCCCGCUUCACCUACGUCACGGAGCUCAACAAUGACGUGGAGAUGAUGCAGAAGAAGACGCAGAGGAUCCAGGAUGAGAUCGCCCUCCUGCGGUCGCAGCAGAAAUCGUCGCACGAGGACAGCCGCUCGGCACUGAGGCAGCUGGAGGAGAAACUGAGGAAGACCUCGGAGGAGGCAAAUGAGUACGAGAACAGAGCCAGGGAGAUGGGCAAGACCCUGGAGCGCCUCAAGAGCGCGGUGGAGAGCCUGUUUCAGAAGAUCGACUGCAAUGCCAGCAGGAUCCUGGUGCAGCUGGGAGAAACGGGGAAGAUCACCGAUGCCAACCUGCUCCAGUACCUCGCCAUCAUUGAGAAGCGGACCAAUGACCUGCUGCUGCUGGAGGCAUACCGGCGCAUGCAGGAGGCCGAGGGCCCACAGCCCUUCGUCAACCCGUUCUGGGGUGGCUCUGCACUCCUCAAGCCCCCUGAGUCCAUCAAGGUUGUGCCCCCCAUGUUCGGGCCUGAGCCCUUCAGGGACAGGCUGGAGGACGGUGAGUCCUGGCACCCAUGCCUGGCCAGAGAGGCCUCGGUCCCCUCUACGAGCCCCUGGGAAGCCGCUUGGGAGCCCCCUGGUAUCCCACUCGUCACUCAAGGGGACUUUCCUCCUUGUGACCCAGGGAGGUGA
rnacentral:lncRNA from 1 species